rnacentral:lncRNA from 1 species
UUGCUGUAAAUUUUUGGCUUAGGUCAGAGUAGUUGGAGUAGGUCGAGGUCCGAUGAAGAUUAUGGCUAUUGGUCUUGCAAAAGAAGUUCCUGAUCGGAGCUGGUUUCAGCAGAAACCUUCCAACAUUCAAGUUAGAAAUUAGAAACAGAUGAAAAAAAGUGAGUGCUUAUAGUUAUUCAUACCUUUGAAGCCCCUUGUUUGCCUCUACUUAUAAGCCAAGAUCAAAAUUAUCGA